GGGGGUGUAGUUCAGUUGGUAGAAUGUUUGCCUAGCAUGCACAAAGCCCUGGGUUCUAUUGCCAGCACCCCCA